rnacentral:tRNA from 1 species
GCAGGGGUGGUUCAGUGGUAGAAUUCUCUCCUUUUAUGUGGGAGAUCAGGGUUUGAUUCCUGGCCAGUGCU